rnacentral:ncRNA from 1 species
UAAAGGCCUGGUCCUGACUUUACUGUCAGCCUUAAUCCAAUUCAUACAUGCAAGUAUCCGCACCCCCGUGAGAAUGCCCCCAGCCUCCCCCCAGAGCCGGGGAGCUGACAUCAGGCACAACCCCCGCCCAAGACGUCUUGCUUUGCCACACCCCCAAGGGAACUCAGCAGUAGUAAACAUUAAGCCAUAAGUGAAAACUUGACUUAGUUAGGAUUAUAAAGGGUCGGUAAAACUCGUGCCAGCCACCGCGGUUAUACGAGAGACCCAAGUUGACAAACACGGCGUAAAAAGUGGUUAUGUGUUAUACUAAAUAAAGCCAAAAACUUCCCAAGCUGUCGCACGCACAACGGAAAUAAAAAGCCCCAACACGAAAGUAGCUUUAAAUAAACUGACGCCACGAAAGCUAAGAAACAAACUGGGAUUAGAUACCCCACUAUGCUUAGCCUUAAACUCUGAUAAAAAACUACAAUUUUAUCCGCCAGGGGACUACGAGCGCUAGCUUAAAACCCAAAGGACUUGACGGUGUCUCACCUCCACCUAGAGGAGCCUGUUCUAGAACCGAUAUUCCUCGUUUAACCUCACCAUCCCUUGCCCCCGCCGCCUAUAUACCGCCGUCGCAAGCUUACCCUAUGAAGGCCCCACAGUAAGCACAAUGGGCACAGCCCAAAACGUCAGGUCGAGGUGUAGCUUACGAGAUGGAAAGAAAUGGGCUACAUUUUCUACAACAGAAUAUUACGAACUGCACUAUGAAACAAAGUGCCCGAAGGUGGAUUUAGCAGUAAAAAUAAACUAGAGUGUUUUUUUGAAACAGGCUCUGAGACGCGUACACACCGCCCGUCACCCUCCCCACCCCCCCCCACCACAACAGUAACUAACAAAAUAUUCCCCUAAGCGGGGAGGCAAGUCGUAACAUGGUAAGUGUACCGGAAGGUGCACUUGGAUCAC